CUCUAAACAAAAAAAUAUGAACCGUGAUAGGAGAGCCAGUGGAGACGGUGGUUAGAUGCGUGUUUGAGUCCGGGCUUGGUGGCGUUUGGUAUGUCCGAUGAACUUGAUGGAUUUGAAGAAGACUAGAGAAUGGCUGGAUGGUAACUGGAUGAUUUCGAUGGGCAUUUGGUCUCUUGUUUCACUGAUGCAAAGAAGGUGUUGAUUGUUUUGCUUUUGAAGGAAGGGGUUUUAGGCCUGGUUGGAAGCAUUUUGCGUGUUAAUCAAUUGCGUUUUGGGUGAGGUUGGAGAGGCGAUUGAUCCCUUGGCGAUUUAGAAUUGUUGAUGAACUGCUGUUUUCUAGAAGAUGAGAAGUGCAUUUGAGGUUUAAUGUCAGAUAUUGAUGUUAGUACGUUGAAGUUAAUUUUGAAAACCGACUCUCUGUUUGACUAGUAUUUUUAAGUAAUUCUCAGACUUAAGCUGAUUGGUGUAAUCGGGAGCUCAGUUAAUGUCAUAAUCUAUUUGUUUUAUUUAAA